AGCUUGGUUUUAAUGGACUUCAUAGUGGACGGUCGACCAUAUUGUUGGACGACACUUUGAGGCUUCUGGAACCUUUAAGAAGAUCGUGGGCCAGAAGCUGGCACAGGAAUAUCACCUCUUCACGUCUUCUGAGGGUCCACCUCUUGGCUAAGCUACUUGGUUGGUUUCCCAAGACCAGUGAAUUCCUUUGCAUGGCCUUACCAUCUCUUCCAGAGCUCUAUAAGAGGCAGGGCAUGAUUUUCACCAAACACCAGGCAGGUGAUGAAGCAUUCUCUUCGAUCUUUAGUGCUAUGAGCUAAAUAGUGUUUCUCCUCUUUAUUAAUGAUCCAUCCUCUAGUAUGUCAUAAUAAUCACAGGAAAAUAUUAGAAGGUGAAUAAUUCAGAAGCAUAAGAAAUACCACGCAUGUGUGAUGAAAGAGAAUAUAUUCUUGGUGAGUCUGUGAUUUCAACUUUCUGUGUGUCAAAGUAGCAGAAGCCAUUCCAAAAUAUUUCAAUGUGUGUUAUUUUGAUUGUGAUUAUGAAAUUCUGGCUAUCUCUUUAACUCUGUGGAC
rnacentral:lncRNA from 1 species